rnacentral:lncRNA from 1 species
CAAGGGAGACGCAUGAAGUAUCUUUACGAAGCUAAAAUUACACCUUUUUUUUUAACAACAUGCUAAAAUUAUACCUAUAUCAGAAAAGCACUAUAUGAAUUAAUAGAAGAUAUUUUUAGCAAGAAAAAAAAUUAAUAGAAGAUAUUAAUACACUACAAGAAAACAUCGGUAUUCUGACGGACAUUCCGACGGAAAAUGAGUUCCUCGGAAUUUCCCGAGGAAUUUGGGUUUCCUCGGAAUUUCCUCGGAAUAUACCGACGGAAUUCCGAGUAAACAUCAAUCCGUCGGAAUAUUCAGAGGAAAUUCCGACGAACUAGUGAUCGAUCGAUGCGUUUUUGGACAUAU